ACCAAAAUAGCUCAAUUGGGAGAGCGUUAGAAUAUAGAUCGAAAAUCCCAGUUUUGAUCCCGGGUUACGGCA
rnacentral:tRNA from 1 species